UACGGAGGGUGCAAGCGUUAUCCGGAUUUACUGGGUUUAAAGGGUGUGUAGGCGGGCUUUUAAGUCUGGGGUGAAAUCCCGAAGCUCAACUUCGGAACUGCCUUGGAUACUAUUAGCCUUGAAUUCUGUUGAGGUUGGCGGAAUAUAACAUGUAGCGGUGAAAUGCAUAGAUAUGUUAUAGAACACCGAUUGCGAAGGCAGCUAACUAAACAGACAUUGACGCUGAGGCACGAAAGCGUGGGGAUCAAACAGGAUUAGAACC
rnacentral:rRNA from 1 species